AGAUUGAACGCUGGCGGCAUGCCUUACACAUGCAAGUCGAACGGCAGCACGGGUGCUUGCACCUGGUGGCGAGUGGCGAACGGGUGAGUAAUAUAUCGGAACGUACCCUAGAGUGGGGGAUAACGCAGCGAAAGUUGCGCUAAUACCGCAUACGAUCUACGGAUAGGAAAGUGGGGGAUCGCAAAGACCUCAUGCUCAUGGAGCGGACCGAUAUCUAGAUUAGCUAGUUGGUAGGGUAAAAGCCUAACAAGGACAUCGAUCAGUAGCUGGUC
rnacentral:rRNA from 1 species